UCUACCAAAGGAUAGUAGUAACUCCAUUGGUCUUAGGCGCCAAACUUCUUGGUGCAAAUCCAAGUGGUAGAA
rnacentral:tRNA from 1 species